GGGAGCUUGCUCCCGGAUGUUAGCGGCGGACGGGUGAGUAACACGUGGGUAACCUGCCUGUAAGACUGGGAUAACUCCGGGAAACCGGAGCUAAUACCGGAUAGUUCCUUGAACCGCAUGGUUCAAGGAUGAAAGACGGUUUCGGCUGUCACUUACAGAUGGACCCGCGGCGCAUUAGCUAGUUGGUGAGGUAACGGCUCACCAAGGCGACGAUGCGUAGCCGACCUGAGAGGGUGAUCGGCCACACUGGGACUGAGACACGGCCCAGACUCCUACGGGAGGCAGCAGUAGGGAAUCUUCCGCAAUGGACGAAAGUCUGACGGAGCAACGCCGCGUGAGUGAUGAAGGUUUUCGGAUCGUAAAGCUCUGUUGUUAGGGAAGAACAAGUGCAAGAGUAACUGCUUGCACCUUGACGGUACCUAACCAGAAAGCCACGGCUAACUACGUGCCAGCAGCCGCGGUAAUACGUAGGUGGCAAGCGUUGUCCGGAAUUAUUGGGCGUAAAGGGCUCGCAGGCGGUUUCUUAAGUCUGAUGUGAAAGCCCCCGGCUCAACCGGGGAGGGUCAUUGGAAACUGGGAAACUUGAGUGCAGAAGAGGAGAGUGGAAUUCCACGUGUAGCGGUGAAAUGCGUAGAGAUGUGGAGGAACACCAGUGGCGAAGGCGACUCUCUGGUCUGUAACUGACGCUGAGGAGCGAAAGCGUGGGGAGCGAACAGGAUUAGAUACCCUGGUAGUCCACG
rnacentral:rRNA from 1 species